GACGAACGCUGGCGGCGGGCCUAACACAUGCAAGUCGAGCGGAGCGGCGGACGGGUGAGUAAUGCCUAGGAAUCUGCCUGGUAGUGGGGGAUAACGUACGGAAACGGGAGCUAAUACCGCAUACUAUCAGAUGAGCCUAGGUGGGAUUAGCUAGUGGGUGGGGUAAAGACUUACCAAGGCGACGAUCCGUAACUGGUCUGAGAGGAUGAUCAGUCACACUGGAACGGAGACACGGUCCAGACUCCUACGGGAGGCAGCAGUGGGGAAUAUUGGACAAUGGGCGAAAGCCUGAUCCAGCCAUGCCGCGUGUGUGAAGAAGGUCUUCGGAUUGUAAAGCUCUUUAAGUUGGGAGGCGUUACCAACAGAAUAAGCACCGGCUAACUUCGUGCCAGCAGCCGCGGUAAUAC
rnacentral:rRNA from 1 species